UACGUAGGGUGCGAGCGUUAAUCGGAAUUACUGGGCGUAAAGAGCUCGUAGGUGGUUUGUCGCGUUGUCCGUGAAAACUCACAACUCAAUUGUGGGCGUGCGGGCGAUACGGGCAGACUGGAGUACUGCAGGGGAGACUGGAAUUCCUGGUGUAGCGGUGAAAUGCGCAGAUAUCAGGAGGAAUACCGGUGGCGAAGGCGGGUCUCUGGGCAGUAACUGACGCUGAGGAGCGAAAGCGUGGGGAGCGAACAGG
rnacentral:rRNA from 1 species